CGACCGGCGCACGGGUGAGUAACACGUAUCCAACCUGCCGAUGACUCGGGGAUAGCCUUUCGAAAGAAAGAUUAAUACCCGAUGGCAUAGUUCUUCCGCAUGGUAGAACUAUUAAAGGAUUUCGGUCAUCGAUGGGGAUGCGUUCCAUUAGGUUGUUGGCGGGGUAACGGCCCACCAAGCCUUCGAUGGAUAGGGGUUCUGAGAGGAAGGUCCCCCACAUUGGAACUGAGACACGGUCCAAACUCCUACGGGAGGCAGCAUG
rnacentral:rRNA from 1 species